rnacentral:lncRNA from 1 species
UGGCUGCUAAUGCCGGGGGUGCUGCUGGUUAUAUUGGUGUAAUGAGACCAAAUAAUAAUGGUGAGUAUGUGGAAAUGAAGAAAAAGAUGGAAUCCUUGGAAGAAAAACUGAAGGAGAAGGAUGAAGAUUUUGAAGGACUUCAAGAUUCAUAUCAAGCUCUACUUGUCAAGGAGAGGAACAACAAUGACCAGUUACAAGAUGCUCGAAAAAAGCUAAUAAAUGUGAGUUGUUUGCUGGUUGUCUUACAUUUUAAUUUGGACUUCAUUGUCAAUGAAUCUGAGUUUUUUCAUGUCUUGCUCGAGUAAUAAUUUCAUUGUCAACAUAUAAAAGAUCCC